CCCGGGAACCCGCUGCGGCGCGCGUGAUCCGCCUGUGUCCUCCGGCCUGGCCGCCCGGGCGGCGCGUGUCGACUCCCCGGCUCCCCGUGGUCCCUUCUCCGGCCAAUAAGGUGAAAUGUAGCCGCUCCGGCGGGCAAAGCCAUCCCGGAGGUCGCGGCGUAGAGAGGCUUUAUGAUUUAUUUUUUGGUAAUUCGUACUUUAACCUCCUGCAGCUGCAUCCCGUGGAGAGGAAGUGCUGCCUGCUGCAUAUGUAUACGGGUGGGGGCGGCGUAUUCCUGCCUGCGCCUUAUCAUAAGUAAAGCCCAUCAACUUUAAAUGGGAUGUGUGCCCUGGUAAGGGGGUGGUAUAUAGGAUUGCAGCCUAAAAGCAGGCGCAAAUUCCAGUGGCUGCCAUGGGUUAAGCCCCGGAAGCUGUUCUGCAUGCCUGCCGGAGCCAUAUGAGGUUGAGGAAUCCUCAAGAGCCGUGAGAUCGUGAAUCUCUGGAUCUCUACAUUUUGGAAUGGUUGAGACGGAAGGGACCGGUUCUGCAAAUCAAAGUGGUUGGGUGGGCAGUGACUUGAGUCAGUCCUUCAAGUGAAAUAGUCCAGAGCUGUUAAUGGGUUUAUAUGCUAAUAGCAAUAUCUUGAAUUUGGCCCCGUAACGAAUUGGCAGCCAGUUCAAAUAUCCCUCCAGUCAGCAGUUGUGCUGCAGCAUUCUGCACUAACUUCAGUUUCUGGACCAAGCACGAGGGGAAUCCUACAUGGGAUGUAUUGCGGUAAUCCAUUCAUGAAGUCCGUACUACCUGGACUGCUGUGAUCAAGUUCUCUCAGGCCAGAAGCAACCACAUGCCAGCUGAAGCCAAUCAAAGGUGCUCAUAGCCACUGAGGCUACCAAGGCCUCCACAAAACUGGAUCCAUAAGCACCUGCAGAUUGGGUACCUGCUCCUUCAGGGGGAUGCAACUCUGACUAGGUCAGGAAAAUGGCCACUUCCUCAGACAUGGGAACCAUUUGCUCACAGUGCCUCCAUCUUGUUAACAUCUAAGUUUGACUUGUUUUCCUUCAGCCCACUACUGCUGGGCCCACACAGCUACUCCUGAUUCAGAUGCUGCAGAGAAAUAGAGCUGAGUGUCAUCAGUAUACUGAUGGCACCUUGCCCCACAUCACCUAAGCCCUGGCUGCAGCACUAUCAUUGGGAAUAAAAUAGUGCCCUGCAGCACCCCGUAGUGUAACUGCUAGGGAGCCAAAAGUGUUCUCCCAAUGCUGCCCUCUGGACUUGGCUACAUAGAUGAGACUGGAACCACUGUAAAAUGGUUCCUCCAUUUUCGUUGGACUGGUCAUGUUGUGCAGAUGCCUGAUUAUCGUCUUCCAAAACUACUCUAUUCCGAACUUAGAAAUGGAAAACGUAAUGCUGGUGGUCAGCAAAAGAGGUUUAAAGACUCUCUCAAGGUAAAUCUUUUAAAAAUGUAGUAUAAACACCAGCAACUGGGAAACGCUGGCCUGUGAGUGCUCCAAAUGGAGAACAGCCUUUUACGAAAGGUGUCAUGGGCUUUGAAGAUGCUCAAACUCGGGACGAAAGGGAGAAACGUGCUAAAAGGAAGGCACACUUGGCAAACCCUCACCAUGAUCAACUCCCACCCAGAAACCUCUGUCCCCAUUGUGGAAGGAUGUGUGGAUCCAAAAUUGGCUACCACAGUCACUUACGGACUCACUGUUAAAACCGUUUUUAUGGAAGACAAUCUUACUUGGCCAUGAGUGAUCGCCAAAGAAGAAGAAGUUCCUCCAAACCCAUCCCACAGAACUGGCCCUGAAAGAUGCCAUAGUCUAUGAUACCAAAAGCUACAGUGAGGUUGCACUCCCCUUGUUCUGUUCUUGGUUAAGGUUAUCCAUCAGGGCAGAUGGAUCCAUUCAGUGCUAUGGAUAUAAAAGACACUGCACAUGCUCAGAGAAAUUACAUAUUUCUUAUAACUUCAGAUGUCCCAAGAUUAAACACUGAUGUUCAAAACUGUACCAGUGGCUGCAAUCCCAUGCACACUUACCACUGACCUUGAUGAGACUAACUUCUGAGUAAACAUGCAUAAGGGUUGAGCCAAAAGACUGAACUGUCUGAACCUAAAACUGUGAUUAUUUCAUUUUUUCCAUCCACUUGCCCCAGAGUAUUCGGGAAUACAGAGAAAUACAGCUUGAUGUGUGGUGCUUUGGCCUCUAAUAGAAUGAGCAGCUUUUAUUGGCACAAGCAGGAUUCCCUGUAACAGCCAUUGUGCAACCAUAUCCAGGGCAGAAUUAAACCCCCUGAAUUUAAUAGGUUUAAACCCACAUAACUUGUAGCAUUAGAUGAAACAUAGGCUAAAGGCCAGGCCAAUACAUUUUGCUGCCUGAGGCAAAGACAAGAUUCCAGGUAGAGUUGAAUCUUACUUCAGCACUGGUAACAGGACAGCAUCCUUCUUCCUCAGGGUACUUAAGGGAAGCUGGCUAGCUUAAGAGGGGCGAAGCAGGCUGGCUUAGACAACUCAGGGGGAUGGGGAUGGGGAUUGCAGUUGCCCCAGGAUCUGCUGCCCGAAUCAGCUUCCUGCCUAAUGGUAGGGCCGGCACUUCAUAGGAUUACAUGAUGCCAGAGUGUCUGUCAAUGUGGGUCUGCACUCCACAUGGAAUAAUGCAAACGCCCCCCUGGAUUCCACCACAAUUCUUCCAGGAAGUCUGUCAGCACCACAUUGUCCUUGGAUUUACACACAUGCAUGCAGAGUUUGGCACAUAAGGAGGAACUGUUCUUGUGGAACAAGUUUGUACGAAGGCUGUCAAACUACUUUGAAAAUAAUCUUUCUCAGAUGAGUUUCCUCUAGUCAAGGGAAAAAAGCCUUUUCAAUCAUCCCCAAGUACAAUGCAAAAAAGGGGGGAAAGCAAAGUGGGGGGGGGGCAGAGCGAGAGAGAGAGAAAAUACCAAAAAUAGAUAUGUUUAACAAUCUUACAUUUUGCAAACUGUCCCAUAAAUAUUCAGCUUGCUAGAUCCUCAGCCGGCCUAAAUCAGCACAGGUCUGCAGAUUUCAAGGACACCAUUCCAAUUUACACCAGUUGAGAGUUUUCCUAUAACAUGCGGAGAACAUCUAUUCUAAAUAAGAAGAAAGUAAUUUUUCCCCAUGAGUGACAAAAAUACUUUGCAACUGAGGAUGCCUUUGGCAUGAAUAUAUUAAGCGGGGAAAUCUUCCCAACUACACGAAACAUAAUCAUCCCUCACAUGUGGCAGAUUUGUUUACUCUGUAAAGAUUCGAUGCAGUUGAUUAAUUAUCAGUAUCUGCAGAGCGUUAGGGUAACAAGGCAGCUCUGAUGAGAGGAUUAUUGGAGUACAUGCUCAGAAUACAUAUCAACUCAAAUGUGUCAUAUAUGCUUGGAAUAUUUAUCAGACUGUAAUGGACUAAUAUUAUUUUUUUGUCCACAAUUAGUCAGUGACCAUCAAUAACUCUCCAGAGACAAUGAAUUGAGGUUUUUCCCCCUGUAGGAUUUUAGCAAUCAAGAGAGAGGAAAUAUUAUUCAAUCAUUUGUACAUGAUUAAUCGCAUUCAACCAUUAAGCAAUUUCUAUCCCCUGAGUUAAAUCAUUGUUAUUCUGAGCUGGUAAAAGAUUUGCAUAAAUGCAAGAUGCCAAUGACAAAAGAGAAAUGAAAAUACUAUCAAAAUAGUUUUAAACUAAUAGCCAAUGAAACACUGAGUGCCAGAAAGACUGCAUAUCUGAUGUCCAUAAUUUCCAUUCAGACAUAAACAGGAUAGAGGUGUAUGGUUGAAUCUAGGUUUAGUCAUGCUUUGAAUGGACUCAGUGAAAUCAGUGAGACUUCCAGUUGUUUGCUUUAAGCAUAACUAAAUAUUUACAGUUCAGUCCUUUAAAUGAACUCAGUACAUGACCUCAGAACUAAAUCUGUUUGAAUUCAGUAGGACUUACUCCCACAUGGGACUUAUUCUGCAUAUGGUUGCAAAAAAUAAAAGCCUAUACUUUAGUUUCUUUGACAUAGCACCACAACUUUGGAAUCUCUCCCCUAAGACAGGCAUAGGCAAACCUGGCCCUCCAGAUGUUUGGGGACUACAACUCCCAUCAUCCCUAGCUAAAGGACCGGUGGUCAGGGAUGAUGGGAGUUGCAGUCCCAAAACAUCUGGAGGGCCAAGUUUGCUUAUGCCUUCCCUAAGAGGUAUGGCUGGCCACUCCACUACCUUAACUGCAACUCCCCCAUAGCUGCUGAGGUCCACUCACAAAUUCCGCAAAAACAAAUUAGAGAUGAGCUUGCAGCAUCUCCAAAUCUGGGAGAGUUGUGUACAGCUAUUAACCAACUGUAAAACAACAAAGCCAACGGACCUGAUGGGAUACCUGCUGAAGUCUUCAAAGCGGGAGGAAUUGAACUUACAUAACUUCACAAGCUCAUCAAAAAAAUCUGGGGGAGAGAGGAGAUCCCAACAGACGUUAGGGAUGCCAAAAUUAUUAAUCUCUUUUUAAAAAAGGUGAUAGAACAGAUUAUAGAAACUAUCAAGGCAUCUCUUUAUUAGCUGUGGCCGGCAAAAUUCUUGCAAGGAUCUUUGCAAACUGUCUCCUAACAAUAUCCCAAAUGGUUUUCGACUUUCAUAGGUGACAGUUAACAUGACUUUCACCACUCGACAGCUUCAAGAACGAUGCAGAGAGCAAAACCAAUCCCUGUAUAGGAUGAAAGCAAAGAGUAAGGUUACCAUAACUUCCAUCAUAGAACUUCAGUAUGUUGAUGACAAUGUAGUGUGUGCACACUGAGAGGAUGACCUCCAAACCAUCCUAAAUAUCUUCACAGAAGCUUAUGAAGAGAUGGCCUGUCGCUCAACAUCCAAAAAACCAAAGUGCUGCAUCAACAAGCACAAAACAACCCUUCAGCAGCACCACAAAUCCAGCUCAAUGGUGUAACAUUGGAAGGUGUCAAUCACUUCUCCUACCUAGACAGUUAUCUUUCCACAAGGAAAGAUAUUGAUGCCAAAAUCCAGCAUCGCCUGAACUCUGCGAGUGCAGCUUUCUCCCAAUUGAAGCGCAGAGUGUUUGAGGACCGGGACAUUCUCAGGGAAACCAAAAUGCUUGUUUACAAAGCUACUGUACUACCAACCUAAAAUGGAAAGUGUAAUGCUCGUGGUCAACAAAAGAGGUUUAAAGACUCUCUUUUUUUUUUUAUAAAUGAUAUUUAUUCCAGAUUUAAAGUUCCAAAAAAGAAAAAGAAAAACCAUACAAAAUACAAAGAAAGCUUUAACCAUAACAAAGCAAGAAAUAAACAAGUAAAAAAAAGAACAAUAGGAUAGAAUAAAAAAGAAAACUUGACAAAAAAAUAUAAAAAUACAUUAAGUUAAAAUAAAACAAAAACAGAUUAAACCUUUACAUAGCCUUUUCCCUUUACUUAUUUCCACGACCUCCUCUCACCUCCCAGUUUUGUAUUCUAGUUCAGAUCGUGUUUCCAGCAAAUCCUUCUAACCUUAUUUUCAUUUACGUAUUUUAAAAUUAAAAUAAUGUGAUUAGACCUCCUCUAAUUCAUCGAUUUCAUCAACUCAUUUUUGCUUAGUCCAUUAUAUCAUAUCUACCAGAACGACCUAAUAUUCUUUUUCCAACCUCCUUCUAACAUUCUUUUAUAUUGCAGUACUUUUGAAGAUAUAUUUUGAAUUUUUUCCAAUCUUCUUCCAUUGACCCUUCUCCCUGGUCUCGAAUUCUGCCGGUCAUCUCAGCCAGUUCCAUGUAGUCCAUCACUUUCAUCUGCCAUUCUUCUUGGGUGGGCAAUUCUUGUGUCUUCCAGUACUUCCCGAUGAGUAUUCUUGCUGCUGUUGUAGCAUACAUAAAAAAAGUUCUAUCCUCCCUUCGCACCUAUUGGCCGACCAUGCCCAGAAGAAAGGCCUCUGGUUUCUUCAGAAAGGUAUAUUUAAAUGAGGUUUAAAGACUCUCUCAAGGCAAAUCUAAAACAAGUAGUCUAAACACCAGCAAUUGGGAAACACUGGCCUGCAAGCUCUCCAAAUGGAGAACAGCCUUUACCAAAGGUGUCAUGGGCUUUGAAGACGCUCAAACUCAGGACAAAAGGGAGAAACAUGCUAAGAGGAAGGCAUGUUCGUCAAACCCUCACCGUGAUCAACUCCCGCCUGGAAACCAAUGUCCCCACUGUGGAAGGAUGUGUGGAUCCAGAAGUAGCCUCCACAGUCACUUACAGACUCACUGUUAAGACCAUGUUCAUGGAAGACAAUCUUACUCGGCCACAAGUGAUCUCCAAAGAAGAAGAAAGAAGUAUUAGUACUAGAUUAAAACAUUACAAAAAAAGGGGGGCUACAAUUAUACAAUCAAUAUCCAAUCAAUUAAUUGACUAAUCUUUUUUAAAAAAUUGGUCAAAUAAAACAGUCCCCCAAUUAAUCAGAAAGUUUUUAUUUGAUACAUGUAAUUUAAAAAUCUCAGAUGACAAGCCCUGCCUUAACAGUGUGAUUGCAAGUCCCACUGAGUUCAUCUGGACUUACAAUCUGUCCAUUUGUUUUCCAUAGCCAUUAAGUAUCUUGAUAUCUAGACAAAUAUUUUUGUUAUAGAAAAUCACAGAGUGAAUUACAAUGAACAAAUAAUAUCAUUUAUUCUGUCUACAGAGUAAUACUCAAAGUAAAUAAAAGAUUAGUUUUGUCAUUUUGUUGUGCACUAAUGACCAUAUAUUGCCUUAAUGAAAAUUGAGGUUGAUGUUGGGAAAGCCACAAAGUUUGCAUAUUUAAGAAAACAUGACUACUUUUCCAAGAUAAAGGGUGCAAUCAGCCUCUCAUAGAAGUCAACAGCCGAUCUCCAAUUGAUUUUAAUGGAAGUCGGUUACACCCACAGCGUCUGUAUCUAUGUAUCUAUGACAGGUGGUUUGAAUUAGGAAUGGUGGGCUUUGGGGGUUUUCCUCCCCUCUUUUAGUUUGACUAUCCAGAGAGACAGGAAGAAGUAAAUUAUGAAAUCAGCUGAUUGUGGUUCUGUGGUUUCAUGCAUCAGAAGCAAGCAUGAUGUCUUGAGAGCAAAUCAGCUAUGAAAAGCAACUGUAAAAAUGUGAUACAGCACAAUUGUGUUUAUUGUCUUCCAAUGAUUUCCAGAUCUAUUUCCUUCCAGUUUACAACAGGGGAAGACAACAACUCCAGAGGCUCAAAUCUUUUCCUUGUUGUUUCCACAGAGAAAAGAAACUUAUUGAAAAGGUGCGUGGAGCUGCAGGGAACAUGAUGUAAAUGCAGGAACCUCUCUCAAAUUUCCAGAGAUCACAUGUGUCUGAAGACAGACCCAAGACAAAGGGAACAUUUGCAAGUGCUGAUAUUGCCCGCUGUGCUACAAAUUAUUAACACGCAACCAAAGUGAAAAGGGGCAACACAUUUUUUAAGGUUGUUAGGAGACAGUUACAAUUUCCAGAGUUUCUUAGGAAGAGGCAUUGGUGGGAAUUGCAGCUCUGUGAGGGGACAGGGGUCUCUCAACAACUCUCAGCACCCUUAACAAAGUACACUGCCCAGUAUUCUUUGCAGGAGGCCAUGACUGUUCAAAGUGUUAUGAUACUUCUUCAAAUGCCUAAUUCCGAUGAGUCCUAAGGUACGCCAAUCCGAGUAGAAAAGAGCAGUUGCACACAACUCCCAGUUGGGGAGUGAUCUUAUAACAUGCCUGUUUUAUGAGGAGCAAUACAUCAGAUCUUCCUUUAGGGGAAAAAAGAGUUCACCAGCUUUCCUGGUGUGUAGUACAUGUUUUAAUUGCUUUUACUGUAGUUUUUUUCCAGUUUUCCACUGC
rnacentral:lncRNA from 1 species